AAAUUAUUCCUGAAGUGCUUAAGUGCGUACGAGCUUGUUCGUGCCCCGGAGCCUUCUGAUACUUUGUCCUCAUUUGUCCCUUCGCCACAUCAUCGUCAUCGGGGCGCUUUUCCUUCUUAAUAAAUUUCCCUCUCUGUCCUUCUUUGGGAUGCCAUUUCAAGUGCCUGACUCUUUCAGAUAUUCCUUCACAUAUCCCUCGAACACCACGUGUACUUGACAGAAUUUCCC
rnacentral:lncRNA from 1 species